rnacentral:rRNA from 1 species
AAGUCGUAACAAGGUUUCCGUAGGUGAACCUGCGGAAGGAUCAUUAUCGAGUUCUUGCCCUUCGGGGUAGCCCUCCCCACCCUUUUGUUUACAUACCCUGUUGCUUUGGCGGGACCGCCUUCGGGCUGCUGGCGCUCCGGCUAGCCCGCGCCCGCCAGAGACCCCCUCCAACGCUGCAUCAUCCCGUCGUCCGAGUAUCAUAUUAAUAUUCAAAACUUUCAACAACGGAUCUCUUGGUUCUGGCAUCGAUGAAGAACGCAGCGAAAUGCGAUAAAUAAUGUGAAUUGCAGAACUCAGUGAAUCAUCGAAUCUUUGAACGCACAUUGCGCCCCUUGGUAUUCCGGGGGGCAUGCCUGUCCGAGCGUCAUGUCAAAAACUCGAGCCUUGCUUGGUGUUGGGCUCCGUCGGCAACGACUGGCCCUGAAUUCAGUGGCGGUGCCGCUGGAUCCCUAGCCGUUUGCAAGACUUUUCGCUACGGGACCCCGCGGCCACCAAGCCAGCACACCCUACUUCGUACUGGUGGACCUCGGAUCAGGCAGGAGUACCCGCUGAAUUUAA